rnacentral:ncRNA from 1 species
UUUUGGUGGAUACAAAGUAUCUGAAAAGGGAAUGCAGUGAAAGUCUGCAGCAGCCCCCGCUACUGUAAAGUGGACUGUAGUUUUAUAUACCACUGGUAAAAUACCGGGAAGGAAGAUUACAGGAAGAAGCUAAGCCAGGAGACCUGCCAAAAGUGA